GCUUCAGAAGGUCCAACUGUGGAAAUUCUUUUGGAAAAGAUAAAAUCUCUAGAGGAAGAACGUGACUUUGUAAGACGCACACUUGGAUCUGUUUGUGGCAAAGAAAAGAAAAAGAAGAAGAAAGACACUAGUAGUGACAGUGAUGAGUUACCCUCUUCAUCAUCUUCAUCGUCCUCCCUAUCAUCAUCAUCAUCUGAAGAUGAAAGAUGUCACAAAAAAAAUCCAAAAAGAAGAAACCCCCCCCAAAAAGGUCAAGAUAUACAUUCUCCUGUUCAACUGUGAGAGCUAAGUCUCCAGAAGACGUUCUAAAGAGAUACAAAAAAGUUCUUCGAGCAUACAAUAAGGAAGGAAGCAUGACAAGAGCUUUCACAAAGGUUGGAGUGGACAGAAACACUCUUGCCCUCUCUGCAGUUAUAGCUGAGAUUCAAAUUGUUGAUCCAGAAUUUUACCGCUCCCUCCCCCAAUUCCAGCCUCAGCAAGAGAAGCUUUUUGAAUUUGCUCAGAGGUGCUCGGAGGCCCUGACCACUGAAGUGAAAGCUUCAAUUUUCUCGGCAAAACAAAGUGGAAAACUCUUGCCAAUUAAAUACAAAUUCCGCUAAAUGCUUAUUAUUUUGAGUUUUUUUUUUUUUUUUCAUCUAACGUAUGGUUUCCUGUGUUACUGUAUAUCUAAAGAAAUGUGUUUAAACCAUAUUGUGUGACCUUUUUUGUUUGUUAUAUUUUCUCAAAAUAAUUCUAAUUUUGUAAAAGUUUUCUAAAUACACUGUUUCAGU
ensembl:processed_transcript